rnacentral:sRNA from 1 species
UGGGGAUAACAUAAGUAGAGUAUGGGAAUAACAUAAGUAGAGUAUGAGGAUAACAUAGGUAGAGUAUGGGGAUAACAUAAGUAGAGUAUGGGGAUAAUAUAAGUAGAGUAUGGGGAAUAACAUAAGUAGAGUAUGGGGAAUAACAUAAGUAGAGUAUGGGGAAUAACAUAAGUAGAGUCUGGGGAAUAACAUAAGUAGAGUAUGGG